AUGAACGCUGGCGGCGUGCCUAAUACAUGCAAGUCGAGCGAACAGAUGAGGAGCUUGCUCCUCUGACGUUAGCGGCGGACGGGUGAGUAACACGUGGAUAACCUACCUAUAAGACUGGGAUAACUUCGGGAAACCGGAGCUAAUACCGGAUAAUAUAUUGAACCGCAUGGUUCAAUAGUGAAAGACGGUUUUGCUGUCACUUAUAGAUGGAUCCGCGCCGCAUUAGCUAGUUGGUAAGGUAACGGCUUACCAAGGCAACGAUGCGUAGCCGACCUGAGAGGGUGAUCGGCCACACUCGAACUGAGACACGGUCCAGACUCCUACGGGAGGCAGCAGUAGGGAAUCUUCCGCAAUGGGCGAAAGCCUGACGGAGCAACGCCGCGUGAGUGAUGAAGGUCUUCGGAUCGUAAAACUCUGUUAUUAGGGAAGAACAAAUGUGUAAGUAACUAUGCACGUCUUGACGGUACCUAAUCAGAAAGCCACGGCUAACUACGUG
rnacentral:rRNA from 1 species